rnacentral:lncRNA from 1 species
AAAGAAUUCAGGAAUUUGGUAUAAGUUUUUAAAAUGUAUUUCAAAAAUAAAUCUCUUAUAAAAUUUAUUGUUAUUGUAGAUUAUCACUUUUUUAGUGAAUUACACCUUCCAAAAGUUUAAUUAUGUACUCUUUUUUUUUAUAAAAUUAUUUUGUCUUUAAUUUUAAAUUUUAAAUUAAAAAAAAACAUAUAUACUAGCAAAUAUUUAUCCAUUC